CCCUAGCCCAGAUAGAAGCGGCAUCCUUUUAUUUUUUUCUUUAAAAAAUAAAAGAUAUAGUGAAUAGCUGGAAAUAGC
rnacentral:sRNA from 2 species